CCAGAGAGACAGGAGCUCCCAAGGCAAAGAUGCGAGAAAGAGCCAGACUGCAGGUCCAGCUUAAGCUGAAUUGCAUUACACGUUCAUAUUCUGACUCUAAAAGAGGCUUGCCCAAAGAAUGUCGGCUGGACAAAUGGUGUCAUCCUGUCUACAAAUGAAGCUAUUGAGAGUCUUCUGUAUACAAUUGCUUGCAAUAUUUGGUUACUUGAG